rnacentral:rRNA from 1 species
CCUACGGGUGGCAGCAGUGGGGAAUAUUGGGCAAUGGGCGAAAGCCUGACCCAGCAACGCCGCGUGAAGGAAGAAGGCUUUCGGAUUGUAAACUUCUUUUAAGAGGGAAGAGCAGAAGACGGUACCUCUUGAAUAAGCCACGGCUAACUACGUGCCAGCAGCCGCGGUAAUACGUAGGUGGCAAGCGUUGUACGGAUUUACUGGGUGUAAAGGGCGUGCAGCCGGGAGGACAAGUCAGAGGUGAAAUCCUACGGCUCAAUCGCCGAACUGCAUUUGACACUGUUUAUCUUGAGUACCGGAGAGGUAAUCGGAAUUCCUUGUGUAGCGGUGAAAUGCGUAGAUAUAAGGAAGAACACCAGUGGCGAAGGCAGAUGACUGGACGGCAACUGACGGUGAGGCGCGAAAGCGUGGGGAGCAAACAGGAUUAGAUACCCUUGUAGUC